CGAGCUUGCUACGGCACUGGUAACAGUUCAUACCAUUCAUCAAUUCAAUUCAAAAUUCCAUGCUACGGUAGAUAAGAUCUGAAAUAUUAAAAAAAUGUACGAUCCUUCUUCUUCGAUGAUCCCAAAUAAUACAAUUUGCAUAUUUAAAACGAGCGAGAAACACGAACACAAUUCGAAAAGCAAAUACAAAUCGACGUCUAUUUUGCCCAUUUCAUGCACUAUAGAUUCCAUACUGUGCUUCGAAGCGCUAUUCGAUUAGGGGAGGCAGAUCCAUGCUGCAUAACUUACAGUCAGUUUAUUUCGGAUGAAGCCUCAAAUGUAUAUCUUUCCGCGAACAAAAUCCAAGCAUAAUUAAAAUUACGAAUAUUUCAAACUUUAAAAUAAUUAUAAAAAAGUUAGCG